rnacentral:rRNA from 1 species
UACCAGCUCUCCGAGUGGUAGGGAUGUUUAUUGGGCUUAAAGCGUCCGUAGCCGGCUUAGCAAGUCUCCUGUUAAAUUCAGCGACCUAAUCGUUGAGCCGCGGGAGAUACUACUAGGCUAGGAGGCGGGAGAGGUCAACGGUACUUCCGGGGUAGGGGUGAAAUCCUAUAAUCCCGGGAGGACCACCAGUGGCGAAGGCUGAUGACUAGAACGCGCUCGACGGUGAGGGACGAAAGCUGGGGGAGCGAACCGGAUUAGAUACCCGGGUAGUCCCAGCUGUAAACGAUGCGAGCUAGGUGUUGGGGUGGCUACGUGCCACUUCAGUGCCGCAGGGAAGCCAUUAAGCUCGCCGCCUGGGGAUACGGCCGCAAGGCUGAAACUUAAGGAAUUGGCUGGGGAGCACCACAAGGCGUGAAGCUUGCGGUUC